CACGUAGGGCGCAAGCGUUGUCCGGAAUUAUUGGGCGUAAAGAGCUCGUAGGCGGUCUGUUGCGUCCGCUGUGAAAACUCGGGGCUUAACCCCGAGCCUGCAGUGGAUACGGGCAGACUAGAGGUAGGUAGGGGAGAAUGGAAUUCCCGGUGUAGCGGUGAAAUGCGCAGAUAUCGGGAGGAACACCGGUGGCGAAGGCGGCUUCCUGGUCCAGCACCGACGUUCAGGCACGAAAGCGUGGGGAGCAAACAGG
rnacentral:rRNA from 1 species